rnacentral:rRNA from 1 species
AGGGAGANUGUUGGAUUCCGUCUGACAUGAAACCGGCGCACGGGUGCGUAACACGUAUGCAACCUACCUUUAACUGGGGUAUAGCUCAGAGAAAUCUGAAUUAAUCCCCCAUAAGACUACGACAUGGCAUCAUGAUGUAGUUAAAGCUCCGGCGGUUAAGGAUGGGCAUGCGGUACAUUAGCUAGUUGGUGAGGUAAUGGCUCACCAAGGCUACGAUGUAUAGGGGGUCUGAGAGGAUGAUCCCCCACACUGGUACUGAGACACGGACCAGACUCCUACGGGAGGCAGCAGUAGGGAAUAUUGGUCAAUGGACGCAAGUCUGAACCAGCCAUGCCGCGUGAAGGAUGAAGGCCCUAUGGGUCGUAAACUUCUUUUAUUAGGGAAGAAAAAAUGGGAUGCGUCCUAUACUGACGGUACUUAAUGAAUAAGGAUCGGCUAACUUCGUGCCAGCAGCCGCGGUAAGACGAAGGAUCCAAGCGUUGUCCGGAUUUACUGGGUUUAAAGGGUGCGUAGGCGGAAAAUUAAGUCAGUGGUGAAAGCCCGCAGCUCAACUGUGGAACUGCCAUUGAAACUGGUUUUCUUGAAUAUAGCUGANGCAGAUGGAAUAUAACAUGUAGCGGUGAAAUGCUUAGAUAUGUUAUAGAACACCGAUUGCGAAGGCAGUCUGCUAAACUAUUAUUGACGCUGANGCACGAAAGCGUGGGGAGCGAACAGGAUUAGAUACCCUGGUAGUCCACGCCCUAAACGUUGAUUACUCGCUGUUGGCGAUAUACUGUCAGUGGCUAAGCGAAAGCAUUAAGUAAUCCACCUGGGAAGUACGACCGCAAGGUUGAAACUCAAAGGAAUUGACGGGGGCCCGCACAAGCGGANGAGCAUGUGGUUUANUUCGAUGAUNCNCGAGAAACCUUACCUGGGNUUAAAUG